rnacentral:rRNA from 1 species
GUGGGGAAUCUUGCGCAAUGGGCGAAAGCCUGACGCAGCAACGCCGCGUGUGUGAUGAAGGCUUUCGGGUCGUAAAGCACUGUCAGGAGGGAAGAACGGCGGCUGGCUAAUACCCGGCCGACUUGACGGUACCUCUGAAGGAAGCACCGGCUAACUCCGUGCCAGCAGCCGCGGCAAUACGGGGGGUGCUAGCGUUGUUCGGAAUCAUUGGGCGUAAAGCGCGUGUAGGCGGGCGGGCAAGUCGGGUGUGAAAGCCCAGGGCUUAACCCUGGAAUUGCGCUCGAAACUGCUUGUCUUGAGUACGGGAGGGGGAAGCGGAAUUCUCGGUGUAGGGGUGAAAUCCGUAGAUAUCGGGAGGAACACCGAUGGCGAAGGCAGCUUCCUGGACCGAUACUGACGCUGAGACGCGAAAGCGUGGGGAGCAAACAGGAUUAGAUACCCCGGUAGUCC